rnacentral:rRNA from 1 species
UCAUUCCGCGUGAGUAAGAAGGCCUUCGGGUUGUAAAGCUCUUUCGGCAGGGAAGAAAUCGUUCUCUCUAACAUAGAGGAUGGAUGACGGUACCUGAAUAAGAAGCACCGGCUAACUACGUGCCAGCAGCCGCGGUAAUACGUAGGGUGCGAGCGUUAAUCGGAAUUACUGGGCGUAAAGCGUGCGCAGGCGGUUUUGUAAGACAGAUGUGAAAUCCCCGGGCUUAACCUGGGAACUGCGUUUGUGACUGCAAGGCUAGAGUGCGGCAGAGGGGGGUGGAAUUCCUGGUGUAGCAGUGAAAUGCGUAGAUAUCAGGAGGAACACCGAUGGCGAAGGCAGCCCCCUGGGCCGACACUGACGCUCAUGCACGAAAGCGUGGGGAGCAAACAGGAUUAGAUACCCUGGUAGUCCACGCCCUAAACGAUGCCAACUGGGUGUUGGGGAAGGAGACUUCCUUAGUACCGAAGCUAACGCGUGAAGUUGGCCGCCUUGAGGAGUACGGUCGGCAGAUUUCCCCUCCACAGGAAUUGACGGGGGACC